rnacentral:lncRNA from 1 species
CUUUCUCCAAAAAGUCUGUUCCUUCUCCAAAUCUCCAUAAUAGUUUCCCAAGCAUGACUAUGUCGAACAGUCUAAAGUCUUCCACCAAAAUCCUUCAGUAAAACCUCAUUCUUCUCUGCUUCUUAGAGUUUAAAUCUGAGUUGUAAUAAAAAACACACAAUGUAGUUACCUCCUCUAUAGCUAUCUUCCUCACAUCACAUAAUAAUAGGAUGUCUUGCAUUCCAAAUUGUAGGAAUCGAAUCAUACUUAAUCCACCUUUUCACUCACACGCUUCUUAACAAUUGUGUUAGUUAUAAAACUCAUUUAGUUUUCUAAAAACACUAUAUCCACCUCGUAUUCUCUAUCUCCCACUUGAUGAUGACCUUUUAAUUGGUCAAUUCACUAUCUCACAUCCUAAGAAAAGAUCUUAACAUCUAUAAACGAUAUAUGAUAUAUCUAUCCCUUAUCUCUCACCUUCUUCAACACUUCUCUUUCCCUCAUGCCGAACCUUCUACCAUACACCACAAUAUUACCUCUUGCUCCAAUCUCUUUCUUUUUUUUUU